rnacentral:rRNA from 1 species
UACGGGGGGGGCUAGCGUUGUUCGGAAUUACUGGGCGUAAAGGGCGCGUAGGCGGUCUGCUAAGUUGGAUGUGAAAACUCUGGGCUUAACCCAGAGCCUGCAUUCAAUACUGACAGGCUAGAGUUCUGGAGGGGAUAGCGGAAUUCCUGGUGUAGCGGUGAAAUGCGUAGAUAUCGUGAGGAAGACCAGUGGCGAAGGCGGGUCUCUGGACAGUUCCUGACACUGAGGCACGUAGGCCAGGGGAGCAAACGGG